rfam:Morus notabilis contig24387, whole genome shotgun sequence.
AUACCUUUCUCGGCCUUUUGGCUAAGAUCAAGUGUAGUAUCUGUUCUUAUCAGUUUAAUAUCUGAUACGUGGGUGAUUCACCCACAUGAUAUUAAAUUAAUUUUUUAAGGGGGAGGGCCCACCACGGUAGCUUGCUAUUGGGGUCCUCGAGCGUCGCCCGUGCGUUGCACUACUGCACGGGCCUGGCGCACCCCAC